rnacentral:snoRNA from 1 species
UCCCAAUGAUGAGUUGCCAUGCUAAUACUGAUCCCAGCCAGGCUGUGCUGCCAGGUUUGGGUGUCAGUGAGUUUAAUAAAACUUCUCAUGUGGAGACCUGAGGGAC